GCGUGUCCUGGGGCACUUGCGAAGCGCCGGCUGACGGUCCGACGUAGGACGAGGCCGGGAGCAACCGGAUAGUACCCGGGUAGUCCCGCUGUAACUUGCGGAUAGGUGUCGCGUCGGCUUCGGGCCGGCGCGGUCCGAAGGGAAGCGUUAAGUCCGCCGCCUGGGAGUACGGUCGCAAGACUGAAAUUAAAGGAAUUGGCGGGGGAGCACUACACGGGUGGAGCCUGCGGUUUAAUUGGAUUAAACGCCGGGCAUCUUACCAGGGGCGACGGCAGGAUGAAGGCCAGGUUGACGACCUUGCCAGACGCGCCGAGAGGUGGUGCAUGGCCGUCGUCAGCUCGUACCGUGAGGCGUCCUGUUAAGUCAGGUAACGAGCGAGACCCGUGCCCCAUGUUGCCAUCCCCUCCUCCGGGAGGGGGGCACUCAUGGGGGACCGCCGGCGAAAAGCCGGAGGAAGGUGCGGGCAACGACAGGUCCGCAUGCCCCGAAUCCCCUGGGCUACACGCGGGCUACAAUGGCCGGGACAAUGGGAUGCGACCCCGAAAGGGGGAGCAAAUCCCCUAAACCCGGUCGUAGUCCGGAUCGAGGGCUUAACUCGCCCUCGUGAAGCCGGAAUCCGUAGUAAUCGCGCCUCACCAU
rnacentral:rRNA from 1 species